UUCUAGAGAAAGAAAGAGAAGAGAGAGUGUGAGAGGGAGUGGAAUGAGAGAAAGGCUCUUUCAGCCCCCUUACAUAACCAUUGGGUGGCAAAAAUGCUAAUAAACCCCUCAACUUUCAUCUAUUUCAACUGCCUGGACUGGGCAGUUUUCGGGCUCGGGGACCGGUCUCCCCGACUAGGGACCGGUCUCCGAGAGCUCUCCCAGCGCAGCCAGAGCAGCUGCGCGCGAUGGGUCCGGUCUCUCCUUAUGGGACCGGUCUCUGGGGGACCGGUCUCUCAGACAGAGACCGGUUCCCGAGAGCUGAUCUUCCAGGACUUAGCCGAUUUUUCGGCUGUCUCAUUCUGCACGCGUUCGGGGACCGGUCUCUCCCACCAGGGACCGGUCCCCGAGAGCUCAAAAACUGCAGUUUUGCAGAAUUUGAUUCUCUAGCUCUCGAAAACCUCCCGUAACUCACUUUUGAUCAUUUUAACACCUUCGGACUUUCCGAAGUGCACCAUUCUCGCACUUUGGUCAAUUUGACUAAAGUUCGAUAUUUAUUUUCCGAAUUUUCGGUAUAUUACAUAGAGUUUGUAUUAAGGUUGUAAAAGUGUAAAUUUCGUUUAUUGGAUUGAUCAUGCAGGAGAUUAUCGUUUGGUGAUUGCGAUGAUCUUCUUUUUAUUAUUUAUUAGUUGUGUACGAACUUUGUAAUAUAUUUUGUCACGAAAUCACCAAAGGGGGAGAUUGUUAAGGAUUUUAUAAGUUGGCGAAUUUCGUAAUGUUGAAUGGAGUCUUGGAGAGUUGAUUGCAGAAGAUUGAAGAAAAGAUCUAAAUUGAAGGAA
rnacentral:lncRNA from 1 species